ensembl:lncRNA
UGCAGAAUUAAAAAUAAAAAAAGAAAAAUAUGAAGUUGCAUAUGAAAUAUAUCGUAAAUGUAUUGAUUCGAAUAUAUACGAUUUAAAUUUGUGGUUAUCGUUUUUAUAUUUUUCGUACCAUACAUCAUCGAUACAUGAGUAUAUAAGUUUUUUAUUUGAGAGUUUAAAACAUGUAGGAACAGAUAUAAAAUCAGGAAGUAUAUGGGUUGAGUUGUUACAUAUAUUAAUAAAGAUAUAUAAUACGAAUUUAUUAGUUAACAAUGAUAUACAAAAUUUAUUACCUGACCCAUUUAAAAGUGUAGGUAUAAAUUCAAGGAACAAAAAUGAUUGUCAUUUGAUACCAACAUUGGAAGAGCAAGCUAUAUAUAAAUCACAUAUUCCAAAUACUAGUAGUGUCCUUUCUAACAGUAGUAGUAUGAAUAGUAAUAAUGUUACUUAUACAGAACAUUAUACAAGUGACAAUAAAUUAAAAAAGUACUACUUAAGCUGGAUGAAUACUGCUACGAAAUAUAUGGACAAAGCAUGGAAAUGUUUUUGUAUAUAUGAAAAAAGUACUAGUGAUAAUUUUGUAAACAGUUCUUUAUCAGCAUAUAACAGUCAAUACUUGAGUUGUAAAAAUACAUAUAAAGAAUUAUGUUUAUUGUAUAAAGAUUUGAAUGAUUUUGAUAAAAAAGUUAGUAACGGUGGUAAUAAUAAUAAUAAUAAUAAUAGUAAAAAAGUAAAUAAUAAUAAAAAAGUAAAUAAUAAUAAAAAUGUUAGAAAAAUUCCAUUUAAUAAUAAAAAAUGUAAAAUAAAAAAUUAUUUGCUAUAUAUUAAAUGGUUAAACAUUAUAAAUUACGAAAAAACAAAUCCGUUAAAUUUGGAAUUGUGUUUAGUACAUAAACGGAUAAUGUAUGUUUACGAACAGGCUUUAAUUCAUUUACCUUUUAAUAGCGAUUUAUGGUUUUCUUAUUUUCAAUUUUUAUUAUUAAAUAGGAAAUAUCAUUAUGCUAUUCGUAUUAUGAGAGAAGCAGUUGAAGUUUAUUUACCAUAUAACGACUUACUGAAAUUAAAUUUUGCUUAUUUUUUUGAAAAACAUGGGCUAAUUAAUCAGGCACAUUUUGUAUACCAGUUAAUGAUUAACGGAGUAACAAAAAACAAAGACAAGUUUGCUUUAACAUUUUUGUAUUCGAAAAAGGAUUUUAAAAGAGUAAGCAACAAAAGAGGGGUUACGAAGCGAACGAAGCAGGAGAGAAAAUUAUCAUCGACAGAAUGUAAAACCGAAGAAGAAGAAGAAGAAGAAGAAGAAGAAGAAAAAGAACAAAAACAAAUGAAUAAGAAAACAAAAAUAACCGAAGAAAGUAGCGAAUUAGACGAACGAAUAAAUAAUAAUGCCACUUUACAAUUUAAAGCCAACUUACUAAGCUUAGAAAAAAGAGACGAAAAGAAUGUCACAAACUUAGAUAGUGAAUGUCAACUUAGUACAGACUUAGAUAGUAAAGAAAAAAAAAAUAAUUUAAAUGAAGAAACAGAAGAGAAAUUAAAAAACCUAAGCGAUGGAGAAAUUAAAAAAAAAUUUGAUCAAAGUGAUUAUGAACAAAUAGAAGAAAGGAAACAAU